rnacentral:antisense_RNA from 1 species
UUGCUUGCAGCGCUUGUCAGUCAGCGUCAGGCAGAUGAGACCACGUCCGUGAGUCGCCAUAAAGUUGAUUGCGUCAGGCGUGACCGCCUCGGCAGCCAUCAACA